UGUCCAAAAUGUCGCGACCCAGGGCGUCGAACACCACAUCUUGAUUCGCGAAGUUUUCCACGGCCGGGUCCAGGGAAUAGAAACAAUGAUCGAACGCGAAGGUUUUCGGCUUGCUCCUGUAACAACACGAAAAGGGGAAGAGUGAUGGAGCGAAGAAACAGAAGAAAGAAGAAAAUGGUGAUGCGGAGGUAGAAGAGGAAGUCGAGGAGGAAGAAGAAGUCGAUGGAGAUGGCUAAGAAGUUGAUGAAGAUGAUAACAAACCAGGAGGGAAGAAAGGAAACGGGAAUAUUUAUAUGUGGAAUUAGUAUUUAUCUAUUAGAGUAAUUAUUUUCAUUUGUCCAGUGUUUUUAAUCAAAUUUAGAAUUGAAAUCUCCGAUAGAGAUUAAAUUUCCAUUUUAAAGAUACAGAUAAACCAAUAAAAUACAGUCGUUCUUUUACUAAAAAUUCAAGCAAAAUAACUUUAUUUCUCACGCUUUAUCGAUUAUAUAAUAUAGCCACACUAUAUAUUAUAAUUUAUUAGAACUAUUUCAUCGCUUUAUUUCAUUACUAAUUAUUUAGUAUAUACAUAAGAAGAUACAUUUUAUAGUCAAAAUAUCUGUACAGUAAAAUUUUGGAAAUUGAA